rnacentral:rRNA from 1 species
UACAGAGGUCCCGAGCGUUGUUCGGAUUCACUGGGCGUAAAGGGUGCGUAGGUGGCGAGGCAAGUCGGAUGUGAAAUCUCGGAGCUCAACUCCGGAACUGCAUUGGAAACUGCCUGGCUGGAGGGUCGGAGGGGGGACUGGAAUUCUCGGUGUAGCAGUGAAAUGCGUAGAUAUCGAGAGGAACACCCGUGGCGAAGGCGAGUCCCUGGACGACACCUGACACUGAGGCACGAAAGCUAGGGGAGCAAACAGG